GUGCUCACUUAGGCAGCACAUAAAAUUGGAAUGAUACAGAGAAGAUUAGCAUGGCCCCUGUGCAAGGAUGACAUGAAAAUUCGUGAAGUGUUCCAUAUUUUU
rnacentral:snRNA from 1 species